rnacentral:rRNA from 1 species
UACGAAGGGGGCUAGCGUUGCUCGGAAUUACUGGGCGUAAAGGGCGCGUAGGCGGGUGUUUAAGUCAGAGGUUAAAUCCCAGAGCUCAACUCUGGAACUGCCUUUGAUACUGGACACCUAGAGUUCGGGAGAGGUGUGUGGAACUCCGAGUGUAGAGGUGAAAUUCGUAGAUAUUCGGAAGAACACCAGUGGCGAAGGCGGCUCACUGGCUCGUAACUGACGCUCAUGCACGACAGCGUGGGGAUCAAACAGG